AUGUCGACUUCUCUGGUCUGUGCUAUUUGUUCAGCUUCUGACAGUUGGAGGCACGCUUUGUUCAGUUGUCAUAUGGCGGGUAGUGUGUGGGCUUUAGCUCCGGCUGAGAUGGUGGAGCAUAUGCAAGCAAACCUGGAGCUGGAAGCAAGGGACUGGUUGUUUCUGAUGCAUGAAACUCUGGCCCAAAAUGAUUUCACAAGAUUGGUGGUCACUUUGUGGGCAAUCUGGAGAGACAUAAGGAAAGAUAUUGCUCAAGCAAGGAACCAGCCGGCCAGGGCGCAGUUGUGGAUUGCACCACCGAUGGAAUAUGUAAAACUGAAUACCGAUGCGGCAGUAGCGAGGAAUGGAAGUUAUGGUUCGGUUGCGGCUUUGUGCCGCGACGCGGAAGGCAUUUUUCUGGGGGCUUCAUGCAUAACAUUCAGGAACAUUUCGGAUCCUGAGAUUCUGGAGGCUUUGGCAGUAAGAGAAGCCUUGGCUUUGGCGAACGAUCUAUAUGAGCAGAGGAUACAAGUGGCAUCGGACUGCCAGAAUGUGGUGCACGGAAUAAAGGAAGGAUCAGCAGCGGAGAAUGGAGCUAUAAUUCGCGAAAUCAUAGACCAUUCGACCUCGUUUACUUCUUGUAACAUAGUUCACGAGCAAAGAGCCUCGAAUACCGAGGCUCACAAUCUCGCUAAGCAUGCUUUAUCAUUAGGGGUUGGCCGCCAUGUAUGGUUUGGCCAGCCCGGCGAUCUUCUUUUUGUACCUGUAAACAUUAUGGACACAUGA
rnacentral:rRNA from 1 species